AAAUAGCAAUAAAAAUCUAAAAAUCUCGAAAAUCCAUAAAGAUAUUGAGCUAAUGGUUUAACAGUUGUGCAGCUUGGUUCAGUAUUGCAAUUAAUUUGUAGGCGAUUUGGCAUAUUAAACGGUUUUUUCAGGUUGUGGCUGUUGGAAAGAAAUUUUGCUCAAAUGAGGUUCAAAAAGGGUGAUAAGGUGGAAGUAAUGAACAGAGCUGAGGUGCCAAUCUCAUGGCGUGCUGCCGAGAUAGUGUCUGGUAAUGGCCACACUUGCAGUGUUAGAUAUGGUUCCGGUUCACCAAUGCAAAGUGAAAAUAUCGAAGAAAGGGUAUCAAGGGAGAUGAUAAGGCCCUGCCCCCCUGUAGUGCAGUGUGUGGAGACUUGGGCACCUGGGGACAUUGUGGAGGUAUAUAAUGACUGCUCUUGGAAAGUAGCCAUCAUGCUCAGUAUUUUACCACGUGAUCGUUAUUUGGUGAGACUACUUAGUUGCUCUCUGGAACUUAGCAUUCAUAUAUCAGGCAUGAGAGAUCGACAAAAUUGGAAAGAUGGCAAAUGGAUUUUUAUCAGAAAGGGUUUUGAUCAAGCUGGGACCCAGAGAUCUAACAAAAUUUCAGCUCAAGAUUGUAAUCGGAAGAUGAAGUCGCAGCCGCUGCAACUUGAUGCACAUACUAAAGUUCUUGGAGAAACUGAUGGUUUAGCCACUGAAGGAAAAAAUAGAGGACAAGAGUCUUGUUUAAUCUCAUCAAGAUCCCUAAAGAGAAUGUCUCCUUAUUGCUCGUCUGGUGUUGAUUCACUUUAUGGGAAUGCUCAGAAAUAUCAAGCAAUUGAGACCGAUAAUCGCAGGCAACGAGCAGCUCUGGUGACCUUACAGGAAAAGGGCCGAAAAUUGAAGCAUCAUCCCUUGCUUCCAUAUGUAUAAAGAUGAUGCUGGGAUUUGCGGCCAUUCAAGUGGGCAUAAAAUGGGGAUACUGUAAGCAUCUGCUUUCCCAGAAAUCUUGGCAAAUCUCUCGUAUCACAGGUUUCCUAUUUUGUUUGCAGUUUAACUUUGUUUGUAUCUGAGCUUCAAAUCUGCAUAAAUUCCGUCUUUCCGAUGGAAGUAAAGGAGUUGAUGAUAUGUUCUUUGCAGUUCUUCAUGGAAGAUUUGUUGUUGAAAGAUGUAGACAUGUAGUGAAUUUUGUUUGGUACAUUCUAUAUAACUUUAGAAAAGGCGUCUCAAGCGAGAAGAUACUUGUCUUCCUGACUUGGUUGAUGCUUUAGUUAUUGCAAGGUGGUACAGGCGAACUAAUGUUCUCAUGUAGUAAUAUGCUGUGUCCCAUCCACAACACUACAAGGCCUUUUUGCCUUUUGUUUUGUCGGCCAUGGAUUGAUCAAGCUUGUAAACAAGCCAUUAAAACUAGUUAAUUUCACUGCCUGGGAGUUGGGGACAUGACAAUGACACCGAGAUUGGGAAUUAAAUCCUAGAAGAGGCUUUAAUGAUUGGGAGAUGGAAGAAGUAGGGCAAUUACUCCAAUUACUUGGCACAACAGUGGUGGAGGAAGACAAGGAGGAUCUUAUAGUUUGGACAGCAAGCAAUGAUCUGUGAUAUUCUGUCAAAAGCUGUUAUGAUCUUCUUCAGGAACAAAAUGAUCAGUAUGAAUCUAAUUGGCCAUGGAAAAUGUUAUGGAGAACCAAAGCACCUACCAAAGUAGAGAAGCAAUUUAACUCAAGAUAAUUUACAAAAAAGGGGAUUCUGCCCAAGUAACAAAUGCUACUACUUAUGUGAAGAAGGGUUGGAAAGUGUUAAUCAUCUAGUUAUCCAUUGUAAAAUUGCUAAACAGUGCUGGGAGCUUUUUCUGAAUCUAUGUGGCGUUUCGUGGGCUAUGCCUCCCGACAUAAGAUCCUUACUGGUCAGUUGGCAAGGGCAGAAGGUAUCAAGGACUAUGCGUUAAUCCUUGUGCUUGUGUUUGUAUUCGUGGUUCCAUUUACUUAUGGCUUUUAGAGAAGUUAUCAAAAGUUGGGUGUGCUUGAAUUGUGCCGAAACUCCUCUAUUGAUGUAAGAAUUCGAAGAAACACUUGUAUAUAAAUGCCGACGAAAUUUGUACAUCUCAUCCUAAUAUAAAAGAUCUUCUUUGAUAA